rnacentral:rRNA from 1 species
ACGAACGCUGGCGGCGUGCUUAACACAUGCAAGUCGAACGGAAAGGCCCUGCUUUUGUGGGGUGCUCGAGUGGCGAACGGGUGAGUAACACGUGAGUAACCUGCCCUUGACUUUGGGAUAACUUCAGGGAACUGGGGCUAAUACCGGAUAGGAGCUCCUGCUGCAUGGUGGGGGUUGGAAAGUUUCGGCGGUUGGGGAUGGACUCGCGGCUUAUCAGCUUGUUGGUGGGGUAGUGGCUUACCAAGGCUUUGACGGGUAGCCGGCCUGAGAGGGUGACCGGCCACAUUGGGACUGAGAUACGGCCCAGACUCCUACGGGAGGCAGCAGUGGGGAAUAUUGCACAAUGGGCGGAAGCCUGAUGCAACAACGCCGCGUGCGGGAUGACGGCCUUCGGGUUGUAAACCGCUUUCGCCUGUGACGAAGCGUGAGUGACGGUAAUGGGUAAAGAAGCACCGGCUAACUACGUG